rnacentral:rRNA from 1 species
UACGGAGGGUGCGAGCGUUGUCCGGAAUCAUUGGGCGUAAAGGGUGCGUAGGCGGGUCUUUAAGUCAGGGGUGAAAUCCUGGAGCUCAACUCCAGAACUGCCUUUGAUACUGAAGAUCUUGAGUUCGGGAGAGGUGAGUGGAACUGCGAGUGUAGAGGUGAAAUUCGUGGAUAUUCGCAAGAACACCAGUGGCGAAGGCGGCUCACUGGCCCGAUACUGACGCUGAGGCACGAAAGCGUGGGGAGCAAACAGG